AACGGUUGGGAGUGAGGUUCAAAAUGUGUGAUUGACGUGCGGUUCGGCCAAUAGAUGUGGAGGAAAUGUCAGACCGACGUGGCGCUGUGGCCAAUGAACGGCGAGAAAGUGGCCAGCGAGGAGAACCUCUGUGUUCUGUUUCUUCUUGUUCAAACCAAGCGGGCAGGCUCCUAAUUGGUCAAACGAGGGAACUAAGCCCGCCUAGCUGACAGGGGAAGCAGCUCAUUAGGGCAGAGGGAGUUCGGAAGAAAUGUAUUGCAUUUAUAUAUAUCCUUAUUAAAAGUUCUGUAACUUCAACUAACUUCUGUAACUUUAACUAAAACUUAAUUUUCGAGUAUUUCAGGGUACGUCUACACUGCAUAAUUAACGCAGUUUGGUACCACUUUAACUGCUAUGGCGCAAGGCUAUGGAAUCCUGGGAGCUGGAGUUUAAUGAGGCAGAGAGGGUGGAAGCUUUCUAGAACUACAGCUGACAGGAUUCCAUAGCAUUGAGCCAUGGCAGCUGAAGUGGUACCAAACUGAGUUAAUUCCUCAGUGUGGAUGGUCUCAAAGAUCUGAUCAAAACAGACUUAGGAUUGUUGAUGCUUGUCUCCCCCAAAAAGCCAAGAGAAGAAAACUCAAAAAGAUAUUUUUCAUAAAGUGCAUCAGGUCUGAAAGAACUGCUGAAGCAAAGGAGAAAAUUCAAGGCUCUCCUUUAGGUCAUCUGUCUGCCAAUUGAAUAGUAGGAGCUGUUGCCAUGUCACCUGAUUGGGACAGAACAAACUGCAGCCUUCCAGAUACUACUGUUACACAGCUCCCAUCUACUCUAAAGAUGUCUAAUGAUGAGGAAUCUGGGGACUGUAGUCCAGCAUUUCCUGGAGAGCCACAUAAAAUGACAUGGCGGGCUGAAUUCAGCCUGUUGGCCUUAAGUUUGAAAUAUGUGCUGUAAGCUAUACCACACUGGAGUGCCUUGCAUUUUGGUCUUCUCAAACCUGGAGCUGUGCCUGAACUUAUUUCAUAUGUUGACUACCUGCAACAUCCUUUGCUGUUGGUUAAGGAAAAAAACCAGCAUUUUUAAAUAACCACUGACAAGGGAAAGCUUUCCUUUUGAGGAUUCCAGAUCAAUUAAGUCAAUGCUGAUUUUCCCCCUGUUCCCUUCCCUGAACAUCAUUCCCAUCACUGCCUAUUUGUGAAUGUCUCAGAGAUGGGAUGAAGAACAGUCCCCAUCAUCAUAUCCUCAUGCAGCACACAGCAGCUUUUACUUGUGACCGUGAGUUAUUCCUCUACAGCCCUUUGCAUGUGGAGACUACAACUGCUCCAGAGAAGCAGUGGGGGAGACUGUAUUAGGUGAACUGCGGUAAGGGUGCCACGGGCUGCGCUAGAAAUCCCAAAGGGCCUAAUCAGCCCCCUGGAGUUUCAUGUUUGACAGCCCUGCUAUAAGUACGCUUGAAUAUUAAUGCAUUAGCAGGAGGGGGAGGACCCUAAGCACAGCCCGAACCCAGAUUAGCUGCCGGAGAAUACUAAUGAGAUGAUAUAUGCAAAUUGCUUGCUCAGGGAGAUAAUCUGGAAUGUUAAUGAGGUGUGGAGCCAGAUAUUAGUUCAGCCAGUCAUAUCUGAAGGAAAAGAUAAUCUCAAAUAUUAGUAAUAUUUAAUACAGGACAGGUAGCAUCGCAUCUCCAAGGCUAAGCACAUUGAAGAACACUGCUGUCUCAUAUGUGACAUUUUUUGCUGAAAGAACAGUUAGUGGGGAAGGAAAAACAUAUUUCAUCAUCAAUUGCUCGCCAAGGACUAUAGUGCAUAAUAGAAUAUGGCAGUGAAACCUGUUUAUAUUUGCAACAGCGAAAAAUCUAUCAACAUUUCUUUUAAAUGUUAGGUGCAUAAGUCUUUUGAAACAGGUUUGUUGGGUUCACAGGUUACAUUUGUAUGUAUGUACCUCUUAAAAAUAUGGCUAAUGGUACAAUCAUAAUUGAUGUAAGUAGAAGAAAUUCAGCAGAUCCGUCAGCUUUGUGCAAUAAUGAAGACUACUAUGUAGCUUUGUAAAAGAUGCCUCCAACAUAAAGAGAAAAGCAAAUGUCAAAAUCUCUGUCGUCCUUGAUCCCUCUCCAUAAAUAUGGAAAGCUGGAUUGAUUUUACUGCACCCUUUGAAAAUUAAAUCUUGGUGAGGUAUUCACAUCUUUGACAGAUUCAGUAAAAUCCUUAAAAUAAAUGUGAAGUAUUUAAACUUCUCAGCACUUCCCCAUUGUUAUUUUCAUGCAAGGAUGAUAUUAGGUCAAGUUGCUGCAGUUUCACCUUUCAUGAUGGUCAUUCAUAUUCUCAGUCCAACCUCCAACAGCAUCUUUCUGUUGUUUUCAGCAUUUUUUUUUGUUUCUUUCUUUCUAAAGAGACAACAACCCUGGAUAAACAGUGGCAUAUAGGCAUAUUUAUGUGUAUAAGUGUCAAAAUUUGUAAACGAACUUCCUUGGAACUGACAUAUAGUACUGGGACUAGAUGUGGGAAACUCAACUUCAGAUCAUAUGCAUCUUAAAUAACCAUUCCCAUCCACAUGUAUGGUACAAGAUUGUUCUAAAAAUAAAAAUGCUCUUGCAAUUGCAAAAUAAAAUAAUCAAUGGCAAGUUUUUAUUUAAUUUAGAGAUCAUUUCUUUCAUUUUCAAGCAAUUAUUACCAAUUAUUUAAUUUUUCAAGUUCCCAUUCCAGCGUAUGGGAAUCUUGAAUGUUCAGUUUCAUUGAUCUGAUGCUGUGACAGCUGUUUUUAGUCUUCUUUUUUUAAAAAAAAAUAGUAUUUAAAAACUAACAAAAAAUAAAAGUGCUAUCCUCUCUUACAUGUUAAUAAGAAAGGAGACAUCUAGAGAUGUCUACAUAACAAAGUGUCAUUGGACACAUGCAUAUGCCUUUUUGCUGUUUAAUUCACAGGAUGUGGAAUGGUUAGGACUUAGGACCCAUCUAAGCCAAGAGGAAUCAUAGGCUCCUCCUAAAGUCUCGUUUUUAGGCUUUUGGCCUUUUAAUUGAUACUAAGGGUAUGCAUAUCAUUUGAACAUCUUUUAGAAUACAUCCACUUACCACUUCUCAAAUAUUCAUUGUUUAUAGCAAUUAACUUUGAUUGAUGGUGUAUUCUCUUAUUUUGACCAACUGGAUUUAUGUAAAUGCCUUCUUGAUAGCAGGUAAUAAUUUGUUAAAUAAAUAAAUUGUUCAUGACGAAUUAACUUGGACAAAGGAUUUUUACUCUUGUUAGCUUCCAUUCGGUUUAAGUGGUAAAUGGAAGGAAAGCCAGGAACAUAUUCAUCUUUCAAGGGAUGCGUGUAUUUAUUUUUCCUCUUUAUUGGUAAGGACAGUUUCUCCUGUAUUUCUCAUGCAAGGUGAUCCCUAGAUAAGCCGCCACUGAAGAACCAUCAACAUAUAACACGGUCACUACUAAUCAUUAGAGAAAAAAGAUCCACAAGGAACAGCUGGAAACAUCUGUUUAUUGAAAAAACAAAAAUUACAGCAAGAGAAUCUUUAUAACAAAUGGAUCUGUCCCUUAAACAACAUCAACUCUUGCGCCUGUGGGAAUGUGACGUUUUGCUUAUAAAUGGAUGAAACCAGUUUGGUUUUCAUCUCAUCUGUAAUGUUUUUGUUUGCUUGCUAGCUGUACAUAGCAUAUGAUUUUACCCGAUAAAGGCUGCAGUCCUGUACACACUUCCCUGAAGUCAACCCCGCUGAACACAGUGGAAUUUACUUCUGAGUAAAUAGCCAUAGGGUUAUACUGUUAACCAGAUGCUCAGAAGGUUGUGUAAAAUAUUAUUUUUGAACAUGAGAAAGAAGCAGGGGAAAGCAAGAUAUGUGAGGGACCGUUCUGUAACUCUUCAUUUUCUUAACAUUUUGUUUCAAAGCAACAGGUUUAACUACUAUGCUGGACACCAGGGAAAGUUUGCUUAACUUAUUCAGUCUUCCUGUAUUUUCCAAAGGAUGUGCCAAUUUUUUAUUUGUAAAUUAAAUAGAACAGAAAAAUUAAGGAACUGCCCACCGUGUGCAGUUUUCUAGAAGAAAGCUUGUUCUCAUGACUUUGUCCCUAUCUCAAUGUAUAAAAAUUGCUAUCCCAAACUUUGCCAGCAGUGGGAGUUUCUAAGUGAUCCAAAUCCACACAUAAGCAACGGUCUCCAGUGUUAAAACAGUAGAGAGUAAUGUUGGUACAUGGAUUUGGAAGCCGAGGUGAGAAAAGGACUAAGGAGAAUUACCUUUGAGCCAUCAUCAAGCAAUAGUUUCGGAAAGGAAUUCACAUAUUUUACAUUUCCUGAAAGUAUUACUGGGAGAACAUCUGAAAGAGACAAUGGACUGUAUGAGCAAGUACCGGAAGCCUCUUGGUUAUGGACAGGCUUUCUAGGUCAAGUUAUUCAUGCUUUCCUUCAAGAGGUCUGGAAACCAUAUUCUGACCCUGACCUGAAAUGGCUUUGUAGAGUUUCUCAGCUGUUCUCUACGAUUUUUUUUAUAUAUAAAAAGAUCAGAACUGCUACUGCUGAAAUGUUGUUUUCCUCACCUCCAUUCCAGAAAUCUCUAUGCUGAUUCAUAUACUACAAUUUUCCUAUUCUAAAACAAUCUCUGUACCAUGUUAGAAGAGUAAUAAAGUGAUUUGCACACUGAA